GGAGAGAUGGCUGAGCGGUUUAAAGCGGCGGUCUUGAAAACCGUUGAGUCCUUUCGGGCUCCGGGGGUUCGAAUCCCUCUCUCUCCG
rnacentral:tRNA from 1 species